UAACGCGUGGAUAACCUGCCGUAUACCGGGGGAUAACACUUAGAAAUAGGUGCUAAUACCGCAUAAGCGCACGGCUCCGCAUGGGGCAGUGUGAAAAACUCCGGUGGUAUACGAUGGAUCCGCGUCUGAUUAGCUAGUUGGCGGGGUAACGGCCCACCAAGGCAGCGAUCAGUAGCCGGCCUGAGAGGGUGGACGGCCACAUUGGGACUGAGACACGGCCCAAACUCCUACGGGAGGCAGCAGUGGGGAAUAUUGCACAAUGGGGGAAACCCUGAUGCAGCGACGCCGCGUGAGUGAAGAAGUAUCUCGGUACGUAAAGCUCUAUCAGCAGGGAAGAAAAUGACGGUACCUGACUAAGAAGCCCCGGCUAACUACGUGCCAGCAGCCGCGGUAAUACGUAGGGGGCAAGCGUUAUCCGGAUUUACUGGGUGUAAAGGGAGCGUAGACGGCAGCACAAGUCUGGAGUGAAAUCCCGGGGCUUAACCCCGGAACUGCUUUGGAAACUGUGCGGCUGGAGUGCAGGAGGGGUAAGCGGAAUUCCUAGUGUAGCGGUGAAAUGCGUAGAUAUUAGGAGGAACACCGGUGGCGAAGGCGGCUUACUGGACUGUAACUGACGUUGAGGUUCGAAAGCGUGGGGAGCAAACAGGAUUAGAUACCCUGGUAGUCCACGCCGUAAACGAUGAUUACUAGGUGU
rnacentral:rRNA from 1 species